ACGCACGCUGGCGGCGUGCUUCACCCCUGCCAGUCGAACGGAAAGGCCCUGCUUUUGUGGGGUGCUCGAGUGGCGAACGGGUGAGUAACACGUGAGUAACCUGCCCUUGACUUUGGGAUAACUUCAGGAAACUGGGGCUAAUACCGGAUAGGAGCUCCUGCUGCAUGGUGGGGGUUGGAAGGUUUCGGCGGUUGGGGAUGGACUCGCGGCUUAUCAGCUUGUUGGUGGGGUAGUGGCUUACCAAGGCUUUGACGGGUAGCCGGCCUGAGAGGGUGACCGGCCACAUUGGGACUGAGAUACGGCCCAGACUCCUACGGGAGGCAGCAGUGGGGAAUAUUGCACAAUGGGCGGAAGCCUGAUGCAGCAACGCCGCGUGCGGGAUGACGGCCUUCGGGUUGUAAACCGCUUUCGCCUGUGACGAAGCGUGAGUGACGGUAAUGGGUAAAGAAGCACCGGCUAACUACGUG
rnacentral:rRNA from 1 species